UGCUUGACGAGAUGCAAGUGAC
rnacentral:siRNA from 1 species